UCCAGGCUCCCAGGGCACCCUUCCCACUCAGUCCUACUGACCAGCACAGUGACUGCUCCAUCAGUUACCAUGGCCGCUCGGCAACCUACCUGUAAACGAAGCCACUGUUUGAUCCCAGAAAACUCCCAGUUAAAUCACAAAUCUGCUGUUUUUCUGCAGUCUGCGAAGAGGAUGUAUCACCUGAAGCGAAAAAUUGUAAACAACCUAAAUGACUAAGGGAAAGGGAUUGGUUGCACAAACGAUGAUUCCAUCAUUUCAAGUAAUAUUAGGUGGCCAUUAAAAAAUAUAAAUCAUUUUUCUGAGGAUCCGGCAAGAUGGCAGAGGUAGAGCAGAAGAAGAAGCGGACCUUCCGCAAGUUCACCUACCGCGGCGUGGACCUCGAGCAGCUGCUGGACACGUCCUUCGAGCAGCUAACACAGCUGAACAGUGCGCGCCAGCGGCUGCGGCUGAAACCAGGACUGCGGCGGAAGCACCAUUCGCUGCUAAAACGCCUGCGCAAGGCCAAGAAGGAGGGACCGCCCAUGGAGAAGCCGGAAGUGGUGAAGACUCACCUGCGGGUCAUGAUCAUCCUGCCCGAGAUGGUGGGCAGCAUGGUGGGCGUCUACAACGGACCUUCAACCAGGUGGAGAUCAAGCCGGAGAUGAUCAGCCACUACCUGGGGGCGAGUUCUCCAUCACCUACAAGCCCGUGAAGCACAGCCGGCCCGGCUUCAGGGCCACCCACUCCUCCUGCUUCACCCCCUCAAGUAGUGGCUCAGCUAAUAAACGCACACGUCUCAAAAAUAAAUAAAAUAAAUAAAUAAAAAAUAUAUAUAUA